GCGCGGAAGGGCGCGCGCGCAUGCGCACUUGCGAACCACGGGCCGAGAUCGCAGGGGUGUGGCCUGUUUUCAUGACAACCAGGACGCUCUGAGUGCCCCAUAGUGGGCUAAGUCGAAGGAGGCUGCGUACACCCGCCUCUCUGCUCCCGGAGCAGCACCUCUCCUUCCUCUUCCGGUCCUUGCAGCGAUUCGGUUGCUGAGCGAGAGGCGAGGUUUUGGUAACUCCGGACUAGUGUCCAGGUGGGGCCAGAGAUGGGCGUGGCGCCCGGGGGCAGGGCCUGCGGAGGCCGAUAGCACUAGGACUGUAGCAGGGUGUGAUCUUCGGACAUCGGUCUGGAGCCGACCGGGACCUCAUUAGGUGCGGCAACCUAUAUGUGCUGGCUUCUUGGCUCUCAUCCUGAAAAGAUACAAAUGUCCACUUCUGGCCAUGAUGAAAUAACAAGGACAAGAUUUUCUCCUGCUUGAAACAGCUAAAAGCACUGGACAAAAUAUAUGAAACAUUGAUCUCCAAGAUACUGGACAUCAGAUAACAAAGGACAGUGAACCCUAAGAGACAAGAAAUAGGUCCAGCUUGGAUCCAGGUCAUGUGGGAAACCAUCCCCAUUCUGAUCUUUCCGUCUUUAUGUUACAGUAACUAAUCCCACAUCCAUUUCCUUAUCGCUUGUCUGCAUCCUCUAGUGAGGCUGGAAGAGCUCAUGUUGACUUUGCGAGGGGUAGCCAUGUCCGUGGCUCUGGCCGAUGGGAGACUGUGAUGGUCACACUCUGACUUCGAGCCCUGUCUGUGUGCCUCCUUGAUUAAGUAUCUCUCCGACAUCUGCUGCUCAAUGCUCACAGCACUAUCAAGUGAUUUAUUUUUAGGAGGCUUUUCUACUCCUCCAACAAGAAACAAAGAUUUUAGUCACUGCACGCAGGUUACCUACAGGCUGGAACUCGUAGAGAAGAGUGAAAUCCCGUGAGAUGUCCAAGUGGCAUGGCAGGCCUGGCUCACUCACUAGGAAAUGACUGGCUCCAGCAAAGUCAUUCAAUUCACGUCCAUUUACAAAGGGCCUUUGGGCGUAGCUAAUGAAAUGCAAAAACCUUCCUGGCACAGAGCUCCUAAAACCCUCGGAAUUUCCUGAGGGACAGGGGUGGGAGGAGCAUCUUCUGUUAUUCGUAUAAGCCCCUUUGAACCAGACCUGAGCUGGCACUCCAAGGAAGCGACUCCCACAGGAUGGGGGCUGGUUGCCUGAGGAAAUAACCAUGUGAUUAGAGGGUUGGAACUUUCAGCCCCACCUCCGGCAAGGGAAGAAGGGCAAGAAAUUGAUUUUAAUCAGCAAUGGUCAAUAGCCAAUCACACCUAUGUAAUGGAACCUCGAUGAAGACUCUAAACAGAAGAUGCAGAGAGCUUCCAGCUUCCUGGGCCCCACUCCUGAAAACACUAACUUAAUAGAUUUAGCAGAUCUCUGACAAGUGACAUGGAGGCAGCAAUACCUUCGAGAACCACAAACUAAGGACUCCAGGGUCCACUCCUCUCACAAACUCUGGGAUCUUCCAGUGGAGAGCAGAGAUAGUUCUAUUGCUGUAUUCCUUCUGCCCAGAAAGUUCCUGGCACACAGGAGGUGUUUUCAGAAAAUACUAGCAUCUGCGUAAAGGCUGCCCAAACAGACCCGGACUAGAGCCCAGGAGUCUCCGAAUGGGGGCUGUCGAAGCAGCAGGUCAUCGGCCCAGAGUCUGGGGCUGGGAAUCCCCAGCAUUCCCACUGCUGCCACAGAGAGUCAAGAUGGACACAGGCACCCAGGAAAGGAAAAGGACUUGCCUCUCUGAGAACCCAAACGUCUAAGUCAGGCUCACCUUCCCUCCUUCACCUCACCCAGGAGAGCACAGGCAAGGCCACCCACCUUAGGACAACUCCUCUUUGGCAGAAGAGACUUUGGAUCAUUAGUUUGUGCAGCUUUCCUAGCUGCAUUCACAUGAGUAGGUUUUAAAUAUCUGAAUUGUUUCUUUAAACAGCUGGCCCCACCCAUUCGUUGGUACCAGGCGGGCCCCUGCCAAGGCUGAGUCUAGCUUUCAUGUGGCCUGGGAGCAGGAGGCUGGGCGGCAGGCUGUGCUGGGUGUACCCAAUUUUUGCCCAGCUGGGCCUGGUGGGGAGGCUUUUGGUGGUGUUGCUAGGCAACCUGGGUAAUUGGAGAGGCCAUGGAUUGGGCUUCUGGGCCACAGAGAUUAACAGCCUCCUUCAUCACACUGCAAACCAUCAUUAUGCCCCGUUCCAGAGGCCUGCAGCAAUCUCUGUGGUUAUAGACUGAAAGAGUACUUUUAGCUACAGAAAUUAAGAACCAGCUUUUCAAUAUUAUGGGUUUGUGGCUGAGGUGGUUUUCUUUUUGCUACAUCUCUGAGAAUACACUUGGAAUAAAUAAGCGAACGAUUUAAAAACAAAAAAAUGCCUUCACAAACCCCCUUUUCCAAAAGUUUUUCUUAUUCCUAAAACAAAGCAAACUUGCACUCUCUGUGAGGGCAACUAAGGUAGAGACACUGCUUCCUGAGGUCUGUGCAUGCCCACGACAUGUUAAAAGCUUCUUCCUUGGAAUCCCACACAACUGGGGCUGUGGUUCAGGGUGGGGGGGCCAGGGCCUUGGUCCUGAGCAAGGCCUCUCAGCAGAAUAAUUUCUUUGCAUCUCCCCCACUCAACAACAAUCACACUACCCCCUUCCCAGGCUCCAGCCACUUUCACUUAUACUAUUUCAAUGGAUCCUCCCUAUGAGGAUGACGUCAUUACUAGGCCCAUUCUAUAGAUGAACAACUAAAGCAAAAGAGGCACCCAUGACCGUAUACCUACCUAGUCACACCAAAGCUGAGACCCAAACCCAUUUUUCUGAGGCUAGAUGGGCUCUCCACUAUCCACACUGCUUCCCCCAGCACUACCUAAGAGAGGACAUAUAACUUUGUACCUUAUUACAAUAUAAUAGUAAUAACAAUACACACAGGCAUAGAGACACAAGAACUUCAUCUUGUGUCUCCUACUAUCCUCCACACAUCAUCCUUGCUGACUGUGGUCAGGCUUCCAAAGCUGCCUCAUGUACACUAAGGAAUAUAGUCUGGAAGAUUUCCCAGAGAUGGACACCCUAUUUAAGUAGGUUAACCAAGUCUACCAGAGUACAGAGCUGAAGGAAAACACUGACCCUGAGCCAUCUCCGCCUUCAUUCGAGGAGUUGACUCUGUUUGACAGCAUUUCGAUAGUACGCUGUCAGUCCCCUAAGUAAGGAGGCAGAAGCAUUGCUCUCAUUAGAUAUUUGUAGUUAUUCUUCAAAAGGGCUUUCACCGCCUCUUCUACAAUGUUUCUUGAAUAGUGGUCCAUCGAGAGUGACCAACUGUGAGAGUUUGCACAGGACUAGGGAUUUCUUGAGAUGUGGGACUUGGGAUGCUAAAAUCAGGACAGUCCCAGGCAAACUGAGGACAGUCACCUCUCAUAGACCACCUACAUCAAAUGAUCUGAGAAGACUGUAAAAAAAUAUUGACGUCUGGGCUCAUGAGCCCAGCUCAUCCACCAAUGGCAUCAGAGCCUCUGGAGCUAGGGCCUGAAUACUGGUAUAUUUUAAUGUGUAGCCCAGACUAAAAACCCCUACCCUAGAGAUCUGGAUUCAGAGGGUCUGGGCUGAGGUCUUGCCCAGGAAUCUGCAUGCCUUUUUGACAGCUCUUCAGCGGAUUCGUAUGUAUACUGUGGUUUGAUAAGCAAUGAAUUCUUAUAUUAUGUAUGCAUUCACUGGACAAGCAUUCCCUGAACGUCUUCUAUAUGUUGGGCUCUGGAAACGUAAGAAAAAAACAAACAAAAAAAAACACCUCCUAUUCCUAGGUCCUCCCUAUCCGGUGAGGAAUAAAGAUCUAUAAAUUGUCCCAGCACAGUAUACUAUAGUUUAGAUUUAUAAGUGACUCAGCACCAUCAGGGUGAUCAUGGUUAAUCAGUUCCCAGAAGCUUCGUGUGACAGAUUAAAGAUGGAGUAUAUUAUUUGCCAUUCCUCCCACUAAGAGGUGGGGUUCGUUUCUCCUGCCCUUGAAUCUGGGCUAGCCCUGUGACAGGUUUUGACCAGUAAUAUGUGGCAGAAGUAGUACAUCCCAAGGCCAGGCCCUAAGAGAUCUGCAGCCCCACUCUUGUUCUUCUUGGAAGCCUAAGACCAUAAGAAGGUUGACUACUGGGGUGCCUGGCUGGCUCAGUCAGUGGAGCAUGCAACUCUUCAUCUUGGGGUCAUGAGUUCAAGCCCCACAUUGGGUGUAGAGCUUACUUUAAAAAUAUAUAAAUAAAUAAUAAUUAAAAAAGAAGGUUGGAGGGCA